rnacentral:rRNA from 1 species
UACGUAGGGUGCGAGCGUUAAUCGGAAUUACUGGGCGUAAAGCGUGCGCAGGCGGUUUUGUAAGCCAGAUGUGAAAUCCCCGGGCUUAACCUGGGAAUGGCAUUUGGGACUGCAAGGCUUGAGUGCGGCAGAGGAGACUGGAAUUCCUGGUGUAGCAGUGAAAUGCGUAGAUAUCAGGAAGAACACCCGUGGCGAAGGCGGUUCUCUGGGACGGUACUGACGCUGAGACGCGAAAGCGUGGGGAGCGAACAGG